rnacentral:misc_RNA from 1 species
AUGGCUUCUACCGCUCA